rnacentral:rRNA from 1 species
CACAUGCAAGUCGAGUGCGCGUGCCGUAGCAAUACGGUAUGGCGCACGGCGCACGGGUGCGUAACACGUGGGCAAUCUGCCCUUCGAUGGGGAAUAACUCCGGGAAACCGAAGCUAAUUCCGCAUAACAUUCCCUGGACUCCGGUUUGGGGAUUCAAAGCAGCAAUGCGUCGGAGGAGGAGCCCGCGCCCGAUUAGCUAGUUGGUAGGGUAACGGCCUACCAAGGCUUUGAUCGGUAGCUGGUCUGAGAGGAUGGCCAGCCACACUGGAACUGAGACACGGUCCAGACUCCUACGGGAGGCAGCAGUGGGGAAUCUUGCGCAAUGGGCGAAAGCCUGACGCAGCGACGCCGCGUGGGGGAUGAAGCUUCUCGGAGUGUAAACCCCUUUCGACUGGGACGAAUGCCUCGCAAGAGGAGUGACGGUACCAGUAGAAGAAGCCCCGGCUAACUACGUGCCAGCAGCCGCGGUAAGACGUAGGGGGCCAGCGUUGUUCGGAAUUACUGGGUGUAAAGGGUUCGUAGGCGGUGUGGCAAGUCGGGAGUGAAAUUUCUGGGCUUAACCCAGAGGCUGCUUCCGAAACUGCUGUGCUCGAGUGUGGGAGAGGCGCGUGGAAUUGCAGGUGUAGCGGU